AUCCAUUUGAUGAGUCCCAAGUAGGAUGAAAUCCGCAUCCUGGAU
rnacentral:hammerhead_ribozyme from 1 species